GGUCUUAUGGUCUAGUGGUAUGAUUCUCGCUUAGGGUAGGCGUCUUCUGGACGCCACAAAGCCUGAGCAACAGCUUGCGAGAGGCCCCGCGUUCGAGUCGCGGUAAGACCC